UCUACCUACGGGGCGCAGCAGUGGGGAAUAUUGGGCAAUGGGCGCAAGCCUGACCCAGCAACGCCGCGUGGAGGAAGAAGGCUUUCGGGUUGUAAACUUCUUUUCUCAGGGACGAAGCAAGUGACGGUACCUGAGGAAUAAGCCACGGCUAACUACGUGCCAGCAGCCGCGGUAAUACGUAGGUGGCAAGCGUUAUCCGGAUUUAUUGGGUUUAAAGGGUGCGCAGGCGGACCAUCAAGUCAGCGGUAAAAUCGUGGGGCCCAACCCCAUCCCGCCGUUGAAACUGGCGGUCUUGAGUGAGGGAG
rnacentral:rRNA from 1 species